AAUUUAUACAGUGAAACUGCGAAUGGCUCAUUAAAUCAGUUAUCGUUUAUUUGAUAGUUCCUUUACUACAUGGUAUAACUGUGGUAAUUCUAGAGCUAAUACAUGCUUAAAAUCUCGACCUUUUGGAAGAGAUGUAUUUAUUAGAUAAAAAAUCAACGUCUUCGGACUCCUUGAUGAUUCAUAAUAACUUUUCGAAUCGCAUGGCCUUGUGCUGGCGAUGGUUCAUUCAAAUUUCUGCCCUAUCAACUUUCGAUGGUAGGAUAGUGGCCUACCAUGGUUUCAACGGGUAACGGGGAAUAAGGGUUCGAUUCCGGAGAGGGAGCCUGAGAAACGGCUACCACAUCCAAGGAAGGCAGCAGGCGCGCAAAUUACCCAAUCCUGAUACAGGGAGGUAGUGACAAUAAAUAACGAUACAGGGCCCUUACGGGUCUUGUAAUUGGAAUGAGUACAAUGUAAAUACCUUAACGAGGAACAAUUGGAGGGCAAGUCUGGUGCCAGCAGCCGCGGUAAUUCCAGCUCCAAUAGCGUAUAUUAAAGUUGUUGCAGUUAAAAAGCUCGUAGUUGAACUUUGGGCCUGGUCGGCCGGUCCGGAUCUUUCCGUGUACUGGUUUUAAUUCGACCGGGCCUUUCCUUCUGGCUAGCCCUGGGUCCUUGUGGCCCUUGGUGAACCAGGACUUUUACUUUGAAAAAAUUAGAGUGUUCAAAGCAGGCGUUUCGCUCGAAUAUAUUAGCAUGGAAUAAUAAAAUAGGACGUUUGGUUCUAUUUUGUUGGUUUCUAGGACCAUCGUAAUGAUUAAUAGGGACGGUCGGGGGCAUCAGUAUUCAGUUGUCAGAGGUGAAAUUCUUGGAUUUACUGAAGACUAACUACUGCGAAAGCAUUUGCCAAGGACGUUUUCAUUAAUCAAGAACGAAAGUUAGGGGAUCGAAGAUGAUCAGAUACCGUCGUAGUCUUAACCAUAAACUAUGCCGACUAGGGAUCGGGUGGUGUUUUUUUACUGACCCACUCGGCACCUUACGAGAAAUCAAAGUCUUUGG
rnacentral:rRNA from 1 species